CAGCACAUAGCCUCACGCAUAUAUUUCCCUUUCUGACUUAAGCAUCGGAGGGGCGACGAGAACACACCUCGUUGCCUUUGUUUCAGGUACCGGAAGAUCACGUUCGUGCUCCUCAUCAGUCAUCAAGCACAGAAAAUCUAUAAAUACGAUUUUUGGUAGCAUCAAUGUGUAAUAAUAUUUUAUUAAAUAAUGUGUUUUUAAAAUUAUGUCAAAAUAUUGUUUAAAAAUGUAUUUUUUUUUUCAAAAAAUGAGGCUCAAACAAUGGCUUAUUUUGUUUUCCAUUUUUAAGAAAUUAUUAUUUUUUUUCCUAAUCUUUCAUAUUUCAAGCGAAGCGGUACUCCGACAGAAGCAGCUGUUGAGGGUAAAAGAGGAGUAGAUGGAUUGAUUUCAUUGGCGGUUAAAAAAUUAAUUUUUUUAAGGACGAAUCAAUGUUUGACACAUCUACAUCUGUCAAUGUAGCAAAACUCUUUUAAGCGAUGGUAUGGUUAAAAGUGAAAAUGUUUUAAAAUGAUCCUUUUUAAAAAUAUAAAUAUUAAGACAUCCACAUCCUGUUUUGAGCCAUGAUAAACAAUCGUUGAAAAAAGUCAAGAACGAUGAACAAUAAUUUGUUGAGGGACUUCCUCGACUACACCUUCCUCAACUUUGUUGACUAGACGACAACCCGGUUCAACAAUGUAGUUAGACUAAAAAGGUUUUCUAUUUCGUAGUAAUGACUUAUUUAUCUAUCUAUCAACAAUCUUUGGUAGAAGAGAAGGUUCGUUUUACUCGAGACUGAAAUUGGAUUUCCUAGUUUGAUAUUGCAUGAAUAAGAUUGAUCUCUCGUGUAAAUUCUUGCAUCUUUUACCGUCUUUAACAAUGAUUUAAAAAAUACAAGAAAAACAUGAUUUCUGUAUAGAAAAAGAAUGAAUACGUAAAAAAUUUCAACUUUUCAUUAUUUUUUACUUCUUUUUAUUUUUGUUCAGUACCCUUAUUUAAAUUAUUCACAUUGGUAAGGUAUUCGAAGAAAAGGGGCUCCUGGAAGCAUAUUAAAAUGAGUAAUAUUAUGUUAUGAUCCAUGACAUAAUCCUCAUUUAAUAUAAUCGAUGGGUUUAUGGCACAAGAAUUUGAGGAAUUUGAUACGUACAGCGUGGAUCAUAUGGAUGGGGCGGAAAAAGUGUGGUACAUGGGGGCAACGGUAGAAUGGUAGAUGUCCCCGUGGAAUUAAUGCCCGUUCGGUAGUGUUUAUGAGCUAUCUCGUAUAAAAUGUGUAUUGUGGUCCCUGUUUGAUUUAAAUUAAAAUGAUAUUUUUAAUAAAUUUUGAUAAAGGUUUAUAUAAUAUAUGGUUGAAAGGUUAAGAAUCCCAUAAAAUAUGUGACUAUAACUAAUUAUUAACUUAACUUAAAUUUAAUAUAAAAUUUAAGUUGAAUGAAACAGGGAAAUAAUGAAAUGGGGAGUAAAUUGUGAGUUACAUGAGUUGGAGAUAAAAAGAAUGAUUGAUCAACUUAAAGUUAAAGGGUUGUUUGACGGAAGUUUUGAUAAAAGUUUAACAUAAAAGGCUUCUUCGCGAAUUUUAUUCGCACACUCUCUUCGCAUGUAUAUCAUUUAUAUGAUUAUGUCGAAAAUAUUGCUUUGACAAACUUUUUUGUAACUCAGUCUUGUGAUUGCUACCAAUACAGGUGCAAAGCAGAUUGUUUGGUGUCAUUGCCCGACAAAGUCACCCCGUCCUUAAAAUUUGAGGCAAGUCUCUAUAAAGACUUGAAGUGCAUAGUUGCUUAUAAGUAUUUUGGAAGAAUGGUGGAUGGUGGGAAGUUCACACGUCUCUUCUCAUCCACUUUACUUA
rnacentral:lncRNA from 1 species